GAACUGAUUAGAAGCUUGCUUCUAUGACGUUAGCGGCGGACGGGUGAGUAACACGUGGGCAACCUGCCUGUAAGACUGGGAUAACUUCGGGAAACCGAAGCUAAUACCGGAUAGGAUCUUCUCCUUCAUGGGAGAUGAUUGAAAGAUGGUUUCGGCUAUAAAUUACAGAUGGGCCCGCGGUGCAUUAGCUAGUUGGUGAGGUAACGGCUCACCAAGGCAACGAUGCAUAGCCGACCUGAGAGGGUGAUCGGCCACACUGGGACUGAGACACGGCCCAGACUCCUACGGGAGGCAGCAGUAGGGAAUCUUCCGCAAUGGACGAAAGUCUGACGGAGCAACGCCGCGUGAGUGAUGAAGGCUUUCGGGUCGUAAAACUCUGUUGUUAGGGAAGAACAAGUACGAGAGUAACUGCUCGUACCUUGACGGUACCUAACCAGAAAGCCACGGCUAACUACGUGCCAGCAGCCGCGGUAAUACGUAGGUGGCAAGCGUUAUCCGGAAUUAUUGGGCGUAAAGCGCGCGCAGGCGGUUUCUUAAGUCUGAUGUGAAAGCCCACGGCUCAACCGUGGAGGGUCAUUGGAAACUGGGGAACUUGAGUGCAGAAGAGAAAAGCGGAAUUCCACGUGUAGCGGUGAAAUGCGUAGAGAUGUGGAGGAACACCAGUGGCGAAGGCGGCUUUUUGGUCUGUAACUGACGCUGAGGCGCGAAAGCGU
rnacentral:rRNA from 2 species